rnacentral:pre_miRNA from 1 species
ACACACCACAGUUUUGCACAGUUUAUGUCCAAUGUUUAACUUUCCAUCUUAGUUAGAAAAAAAAUAUAAUGAGUAUUUUUUUUAUUGUUAUUAGAUGAUAUAAUAUGAAUAAUACUUUAUGUGUGACCGAUUUUUUUUAAAUUUUUUACAAUUUUUGAAAUAAGACGGAUAAUCAAACAUUAAACACGGAAACUCACAAUUGCACUUAAA